rnacentral:rRNA from 1 species
GUGUCAGCCGCCGCGGUAAAACGUAGGACGCGAGCGUUAUCCGGAUUUACUGGGCGUAAAGCGCAUGCAGGCGGCCUUGUAAGUCGGAUGUGAAGUCUCCCGGCUCAACUGGGAGGCGUCAUUCGAUACUGCAGGACUUGAGGACGGGAGAGGGGAGUGGAAUUCCCGGUGUAGCGGUGGAAUGCGCAGAGAUCGGGAGGAACACCAGUGGCGAAGGCGGCUCCCUGGCCUGUACCUGACGCUAAGAUGCGAAAGCGUGGGGAGCGAACGGGAUUAGAAACCCCGGUAGUUCACGCCGUAAACGAUGCGGACUAGGUGUGGGAGGUAUUGACCCCUUCCGUGCCGUAGCUAACGCGUUAAGUCCGCCGCCCGGGGACUACGGCCGCAAGGCUAAAACUCAAAUGAAUUGACGGGG